rnacentral:tRNA from 1 species
UCCCUGCUGGUGUAACCGGCAGCACGACGGCCUUUGGAGCCGCCAGACCACGUUCGAAUCGUGGGCGGGGAA